AAGAAGAAGAAGAAGAAGAAGAAAAGGAAAGUAAAAGUAAAACCCAUUAAUUAAUCAAACCCUGAACUCAUUUUUUGUAAAGGGAUAGUCAAUUCUAAUGGUCUUCAAGAAAAAACUCUUCUUCUCUUCUAAAAAAUCUGGCGCUUCUAGCCCUGAUGGAACCGACAGCCCUCGAUCCGUCGGUUCCAAUUCUCCGAUUGGGUCCGAUAAGAAAAAGUCUAAAUCUUCAUCUAAGGAUGAAAGUCCCAC
rnacentral:misc_RNA from 1 species